UGAACGCUGGCGGUAUGCUUAACACAUGCAAGUCGAACGGAAACGAUACUAGCUUGCUAGUAGGCGUCGAGUGGCGGACGGGUGAGUAACGCGUAGGAAUCUGCCUGAUAGUGGGGGAUAGCCCGAAGAAAUUCGGAUUAAUACCGCAUAAUCUAUUCGUAGUAAAGUGGGGGACUUUCGAGCCUCACGCUAUCAGAUGAGCUUGCGUAAGAUUAGCUAGUUGGUAGGGUAAAAGCCUACCAAGGCUACGAUCUUUAGCUGGUCUGAGGGGAUGAUCAGCCACAUCGGGACUGAGACACGGCCCGAACUCCUACGGGAGGCAGCAGUGGGGAAUAUUGGACAAUGGGGGCAACCCUGAUCCAGCAAUACCGCGUGUGUGAAGAAGGCCUGAGGGUUGUAAAGCACUUUCAAUUGUGAAGAAAAGUUAACGGUUAAUAACCGUUAGCCUUGACGUUAACUUUAGAAGAAGCACCGGCUAACUCCGUGCCAGCAGCCGCGGUAAUACGGAGGGUGCAAGCGUUAAUCGGAAUUACUGGGCGUAAAGCGUGCGUAGGCGGUUUAUUAAGUCAGAUGUGAAAGCCCGGGGCUUAACCUGGGAACUGCAUUUGAAACUGGUCAACUAGAGUAUGGUAGAGGAAAGUGGAAUUUCUGGUGUAGCGGUGAAAUGCGUAGAUAUCAGAAAGGAACAUCAAUGGCGAAGGCAGCUUUCUGGACCAAUACUGACGCUGAGGUACGAAAGCGUGGGUAGCAAACAGGAUUAGAUACCCUGGUAGUCCACGCCGUAAACGAUGAUAACUAGCCGUUGGGGGGAUUUACCCUUUAGUGGCGAAGCUAACGCGUUAAGUUAUCCGCCUGGGGAGUACGGCCGCAAGGUUAAAACUCAAAGGAAUUGACGGGGACCCGCACAAGCGGUGGAGCAUGUGGUUUAAUUCGAUGCAACGCGAAGGACCUUACCUGGUCUUGACAUCCUGCGAACUUUCUAGAAAUAGAUUGGUGCCUUCGGGAACGCAGUGACAGGUGCUGCAUGGCUGUCGUCAGCUCGUGUCGUGAGAUGUUGGGUUAAGUCCCGUAACGAGCGCAACCCCUAUCCUUAUUUGCCAGCACGUCAUGGUGGGAACUAUAAGGAGACUGCCGGUGAUAAACCGGAGGAAGGCGGGGACGACGUCAAGUCAUCAUGGCCCUUACGACCAGGGCUACACACGUGCUACAAUGGGAAGGACAAAGAGCCGCGAAGCCGCGAGGUGUAGCUAAUCUCAGAAACCUUUUCGUAGUCCGGAUUGGAGUCUGCAACUCGACUCCAUGAAGUCGGAAUCGCUAGUAAUCGUAGAUCAGAAUGCUACGGUGAAUACGUUCCCGGGUCUUGUACACACCGCCC
rnacentral:rRNA from 1 species